UUUCCGGUUGAUCCCGCCGGAGGUCACUGCUAUUGGAGUUCGAUUAAGCCAUGCGAGUCGAGAGGGUUAGACCCUCGGCGGACGGCUCAGUAACACGUGGGUAAUCUACCCUCAGGACAGGGAUAACCCCGGGAAACUGGGGAUAAUACCUGAUAGGUGGAGAGGUCUGGAAUGAUUCUUCGCUUAAAGCCCCGGCGCCUGAGGAUGAGCCUGCGCCUGAUUAGGUUGUUGGCGGUGUAAUGGACCACCAAGCCGAAGAUCAGUACGGGCAGUGAGAGCUGUAGCCCGGAGAUGGGGGCUGAGACACGGCCCCAGGCCCUACGGGGCGCAGCAGGCGCGAAAACUCUGCAAUGUUCGAAAGAACGACGGGGGAACUCCAAGUGCACUUGCGCAAGCAAGUGGUUUUUAGUAGUGUAAAUAGCUGUUAGAAUAAGAGCUGGGUAAGACCGGUGCCAGCCGCCGCGGUAACACCGGCAGCUCGAGUGGUGACCGCUUUUAUUGGGCCUAAAGCGUUCGUAGCCGGUUCAGUAAGUCUUUGGGCAAAUCUUCUCGCUUAACGAAAAGAAUUCCGAAGAUACUGCUGGACUUGGGGCCGAGAGAGGUUAGAGGUACUCCUGGGGUAGGGGUGAAAUCCUAUAAUCCUGGGGGGACCGCCAGUGGCGAAGGCGUCUAACCAGAGCGGACCCGACGGUGAGGGACGAAAGCCAGGGGCGCGAACGGGAUUAGAUACCCCGGUAGUCCUGGCUGUAAACGCUGCAUGCUAGGUGUUGCAUGCUCUACGGGGGCAUGCAGUGCCGAAGAGAAGUUGAUAAGCGUGCCGCCUGGGAAGUAUUAUCGCAAGGUAGAAACUUAAAGGAAUUGGCGGGGGAGCACCACAAGGGGUGGAGUCUGCGGUUCAAUUGGAUUCAACGCCGGG
rnacentral:rRNA from 1 species